rnacentral:rRNA from 1 species
GACGGAGGAGGCAAGCGUUGUCCGGAUUGACUGGGCGUAAAGCGCGUGUAGGUGGGACUUUAAGUCGGUGGUGAAAGCCUCCCGCUCAACGGGAGAAUUGCCGCCGAAACUGAGGUUCUUGAGGGCAGGAGAGGAGAGUGGAAUUGCUGGUGUAGCGGUGAAAUGCGUAGAGAUCAGCAAGAACACCCGUGGCGAAGGCGGCUCUCUGGACUGCUCCUGACACUGAGACGCGAAAGCCAGGGGAG